CCUACGGGAGGCAGCAGUGAGGAAUAUUGGUCAAUGGACGAGAGUCUGAACCGGCCAAGUAGCGUGAAGGAUGACUGCCCUAUGGGUUGUAAACUUCUUUUAUAUGGGAAUAAAAUGUUCCACGUGUGGGAUUUUGUAUGUACCAUAUGAAUAAGGAUCGGCUAACUCCGUGCCAGCAGCCGCGGUAAUACGGAGGAUCCGAGCGUUAUCCGGAUUUAUUGGGUUUAAAGGGAGCGUAGGUGGAUUGUUAAGUCAGUUGUGAAAGUUUGCGGCUCAACCGUAAAAUUGCAGUUGAAACUGGCAGUCUUGAGUACAGUAGAGGUGGGCGGAAUUCGUGGUGUAGCGGUGAAAUGCUUAGAUAUCACGAAGAACUCCGAUUGCGAAGGCAGUUCACUGGACUGCAACUGACACUGAGGCUCGAAAGUGUGGGUAUCAAACAGGAGUAGAUACCCCUGUAGUC
rnacentral:rRNA from 1 species